rnacentral:rRNA from 1 species
UCUCUGGUGAAAUCCUAUAGCUUAACUGUGGGAAUUGCUGGAGAUACUAUUAGACUUGAGAUCGGGAGAGGUCAGAGGUACUCCGUGGGGUAGGGUGAAAUCCUGUAAUCCUAGGUGGACCACCUGUGGCGAAGGCGUCUGACUAGAACGAAUCUGACGGUGAGGAACGAAAGCUAGGGGCGCGAACCGGAUUAGAUACCCGGGUAGUCCUAGCCGUAAACUAUGCGGACUUGGUGUGAGGGUGGCUUUGAGCCGUCCUGGUGCCGAAGGGAAGCUGUUAAGUCCGCCGCCUGGGAAGUACGGUCGCAAGGCUGAAACUUAAAGGAAUUGGCGGGGGAGCACCACAACGCGUGGAGCCCUGCGGUUUAAUUGGAUUCAACGCCGGAGAUCUCACCAGCGGCGACAGCAGUAUGAUGACCAGGUUGAUGACUUUGUUUGACAAGCUGAGGGGUGGUGCAUGG